GCCCUUAUAGCUCAGUGGUAGAGCGCAUCACUCGUAUUCAAGUAAUUACUUAAUCAAUUGCUUACGUAAUUAUGAUGAGGUCCAUCGUUCAAUCCGGUGUGAGGGCA
rfam:Rhizoctonia solani AG-1 IA unplaced genomic scaffold scaffold12, whole genome shotgun sequence.